rnacentral:rRNA from 1 species
GACGAACGCUGGCGGCGUGCUUAAUACAUGCAAGUCGAACGGACCGACUCCGGUAGUUUUCUACUGGGAAUGGCUAGUGGCGGACGGGUGAGUAAUGCGUGGGCAAUCUGUCCCUAAGUCCUGGCUAACAGAGCCAAAGUCCUGCUCCGACCGGUUACUCUUAACCAGCCGCUCGGUUGGUAAAGGGAAGGGUACGCUUAGGGAUGAGUCCUCGUCCCAUUAGCUAGUUGGUGAGGUAACGGCCCACCAAGGCAACGAAGGGUAGACGGCCAGAGAGAGUGGACGGCGACACUGGGACUGAGACGCAGCCGGGACUCCUACGGGAGGGGGCAGUAGGGGAUGUACGAAAGUGGGGGGAGGCAUGACCGAGCUACGCCGCGUAAACGAUGAAGGUAGUCAAGUCGUAAUCCGUAGUCAACGAGGACGAUAAUGACGGUACUCAAGGAGAAAGCCCCGGCUAACUACGUG